CCUGGUAGGCCCGCCCCUUCGCGAACAGCGGCCUCCCUCGGGGGCCGGCCACCAGCCACCGGCCUGGGCUGCUCGCGUCCCCUGGACCCGCGGGCCAGCCCGGAGCCGCUGCCCUAGGCGGCUGUUCCGCGUGCCUGCAGACAGACAAGGCCCUGCACUUUCCUUCUCACGUGUUUUCGGGACUGGCCUCUCUCCUUACUUUCUCUCUGCUGCAUCCUUAUUCUCCCGGCUCUGGUUCUCCCAAUUCGUUGCAAACAGUGCAUUGACAAAGGCAUGCUGAGACUGCCCGGCAGGGCUUUCCGCGGAGAUGGGAGCGGUUCCCGGAGGCUCUGGAGGAGGGUUUUGGGGAGGGGCGCGGCGCGCAGGCCGCCUGGACUGAGAGCGGCUUCCGGGCCCUCAUUCCCACCAGCCUCGCCUCUUCUCCACGCAUCUGUUUUCAUUUUCUUAGUGUUUAAACUUGAUUCCGCCCCCACCUCCGUGUCCUCACACCACUCCCAUGAAAGACAGAAGAUGGAUUUCAUCUGUGUCCUGAAAGAGGGCAGGGAACACUCAGUGACUGGAGACCCCAGAGAAUGCGAAGUGCGAGCUGUCGCGGGAUGUCUCUGCAGAAAAAUCGUAUGCAAGACAUUUUGUCCUGGUGAAGCUGAGCUGUGCAUCCGCUGAGCUAUGGGCAGACACUAAGAAGGACCCCAGCUGAUUAGAAAAGCCGUGCCCUUGCCAGGAAUUGGAUCUCAGGCACAUGUGGCCAUCCUCAUGACUCAGAGGAGGUGGGACUGAAAUCACUGUGGGCUGAAGAGGCCUGGCUGGAAACCGGCCUGCACGCUGCUGAGAUAAGCAGUUCUCUUCUAGCCAGCAACAUAUGCCUCCAUGUCCCUGGGGAGGGGGCCCCAGCUUCCUCUUCUCCCCGCCCCCACUCCCUGGAGGCCCUGAGUUAUCGCAGCCCUUCCCUGGGAGAAGCCUCGCUCCGCCCGGGUUUUGGCCUGCAACUAAAACAUUGUGUACACCAUUAUCCCUUCACUGAAGUCCUGUAAAGGGUCAAUAAAGUUACUCAAGAAGGACUGGG
rnacentral:lncRNA from 1 species